UUCUGUAUGUAUUUGUAUGGUUUUUUUACAAGUAUAGAGUGAAAUACACACGGUGAGUAAUGAACGCAGACCUUCAGUGCCGGACCUCUGACCCGCUAACCUCCAUCCCGACAGCCAGCGCCUUCUCCGGAUGCCAUUGCGGUAUCGCUUCUCGGCUUUUUGUGUAAGAUCGAGUGGACACCGGGGACUACACGUUUAAAUGGAUUUUUGACCUUCGGCUAUGGAAGCGAGGCUUGCUACGUCCACUCCGUGCAUCGACUCUGGCGUUUUCCGGGGACAAAUAAGUGAAUAUCUGACAAUUCUUAAAUGGAGAUACAUUUACUUGUUCCUGCAUCAAGGAAAAAAUGCGCAUCCUGGUAAAUUUUAGAAGUUAGACGACUGAGCUGCAGCGGACAGCCUCGUGGAGGCGUGGAGCAGCAUACACAGUUAAGUUUGUGGUGGUGAUCCGAGGACGAAUUAAACAUCCUCGACACAGCUGAAGGUGCAACAAAAGCGAAAGAGGCCGAUUGGAAUGUUAAAAACACCUGAAAACUUUUUUUCACUACCCUUCAUACUACAGCUGUCGAAAAACCACAGCAACGUCGACAGACCUGGAGGCAUAGCUGUACUUGUUUAACUCACAACGACAACGGCUGUCGAAAAACCACAGCAACGUCGACAGACCUGGAAGCGUAGCUGUAUUUGUUUAACUCACAAAGACAACGGGUCAAUUAUGAGUGGAGAACCGUUCACCAAAUGAAGACCGCAGCCAGGUGACGGGAUUCUGUGGUAAUCGCAAAC